CCUAUAAAGUGCACUAUUUUAGACCAGGGCCCAUUAGCUCUGAUCAAAUGUAGUGUACUAUGUAGGGAAUAGGUUGCAGUUUCAGAAUAUUUAAAUGCUAAAUACCACACAGAUGAGUCACAGUCAUAGACAGAGCAGAGCACCUCAGGCAGAUCAGAGAUCUCCAGUCCACUCCCCUACAGGGUGGGGUGUUCUCUCCCCUAACCAACCCUACCCAAUCAGACGUCACAGUGGCAGUGAUAUAUCUUAGGUAUGUUCAUAGAGACCGGUUAAUACUGAAGAACUGGCUGUAUGUCUAUGAAGCAUUCUUAGAGGUGAGAUGUUAUGUUGUUGCUGUUGGCUGGGUUGGUGGUGGUGUUGUUGUUGGUGGUGUUGUUGGCUGGGUUGGUGGUGUUGUUGUUGUGGUAGUUGGUGUUGCUGUUGGUGGUGUUGCUGCUGUUGUUGUUCUUGUUGGUGUUGUUGGUGGUGGUGUUCUUGGUGGGGCUGUUGGUUUUGGUGUUGGUGGUGGUGGUGUUGUUGGUAGUGUUGUUUUGGUGUUGGUGUUGUUAGUGGUGUUGUUGGUGGUGGUGUUGUUCUUGGUGGUGUUGUUGGUUUUGGUGUUGGUGCUGUUGGUGGUGUUGGUAGUGUUGUUGGUGGUGUUGGUGGUGGUGUUGUUGUUGUUGUUGGUGGUGGUGUUGUUGGUGAUGGUAGUGUUGUUGGUGGUGGUGUUGUUGGUGAUGUUGGUAGUGUUGUUGGUGUUGGUGGUGUUCUUGGUGGUGUUGGUAGUGUUGUUGUUGGUGGUGUUGUUAGUGUUGUUGGUGGUGUUAUUAGUGUUGUUUGUGGUGUUGGUGUUGUUGGUGUGGUUACUGAGAAGCCUUAGGAGGAAACUUGGGGUUUAGUUGAGGACUAAUGUCAUAUCUUCCACACGGAAUGUGUUGUUGAUCACACAAUCCUGCCGUCCAUACUACGCUCUUAGGGGAAAAAAGGUGCUAUCUAGAACCAGAAAUAGUUCUUCGGCUGUCCCCAUAGGAUAACCCUUUGAAGUUCACUUUUUGGGUUGUCCGGUUAGAACCUUUUUGGGUUCCAUGUCGAACCCUUUAAGGGUGCUCCUACGGAGACAGCCGUAGAGUCCUUUUACGAAGAGUGUACUUUCCUGUACUAGCAGCAUCAACCAUUGUUGUUCAACCAAUAUCGUGUUCUGAACAUCAAUGUAAAAUAAUGGCCUUGUAACUGGCCUUGUAACUGGCCUUGUAACUGGCCUUGUAACUGGCCUUGUAACUGGCCUUGUAACUGGCCUUGUAACUGGCCCUGGCCUUGUAACUGGCCUUGUAACUGGCCUUGUAACUGGCCCUGGCCUUGUAACUGGCCUUGUAACUGGCCUUGUAACUGGCC
ensembl:lncRNA